CAAUUCGUUCAAUCGUCAAUCCGUUUGUUUGCGAAAUAUUUGGACCAACAAAUCACUGUUCAGUUAACGCUUUAACUUUACAAAGGCAAUUCUUUGCCUCUAGCUGCGAUAUUGACUUAUAAAAUGAACUCGAAUAAAAGAGUCAGGCGGUGACUAUAGACACCAUCUCUAGCACCCUUCAUACCCUCUCGCAUGAGUACACGUGUCGUAAUUCUCGUUCGUUUAAACCCUCCGCCCUUAAUCUUCAUUUUCUCGUUGUGCUUUGAAUCGCAAAUGUCGCGCCCCUUCGUGGCGUAUCUCUCUUACUUCGAGGGGUCCAUAACAGAGGUCGCCUCUUUGGCUCAUCCGUUAUAAGGAUAAAGAAGAAAGAAAACGCGCUCGGGAAACAUUGAAAAAAAGCUUUGCGACAGGGGAAAAAGCUCGAGACGAAAAAGACUAUAUGAGAAGUAUUUAAGGAGAUCUAAGAUUCCCCUAAGAGACUUCAAUUGGCUUUAAGCACAUCAUCAGCCACGUUUCAUUCGCACAACAACGAGGACAAUUAAGACCUGUAUUAAUCAUCUAGGUUUCUCUCUUUCUUUAUCUCUCUUCCUUCUCUUUGACUAGUCGACAAAUUACGGUCAGUGGCCGUUUUACGGACGCAAAUUCAAUUACUGUUUCGCGCAGAGACCGGUCAACAUAAAUAAUUACCAACGAAGCCAGACUCGUGGUCGUUCGGAGGAAGUGAAAGAGAUGAAAGGAAGGAGAGAAUUUGUGAUCCUUCGUGGCUUUUGUGGUCGCAAGAAUCCGAACUAGCGUUGUAACAGCAUAAAUCAUUGUUACGAACCUAGUCACGAAUAAUCAAUUGUUAUCAUCAUGCCUUUGAGGUUUUUAUUAUCGAUCAAAUCUAAAACAAGGAAUUUCAAAUUUAUGUAAUGUCGUAUGAUACUUCAUCUAAAGUGAGCUCAAGUGUUGACUUCUAUAAGUUCAUCCAAGAGAAAAUUAAUUACAUCAUAUUACAUCUCCUUGAAAUUAUUCAAUAUUUAUUCGAAACAUUUUUUUUUGAUGAACUUCUAAAAACAAGCGAUAUUCAAAUGAUGAAUUUAAAUGGAUGAAAAUAGAUUCAAAAUAUCGAACUUUAUGUGGAGUAACAUAAUGCUGCUUACAUUCGUUGCUUCGAGGACGCUACUUCAUCUAACAUUCUUUGAACGUUCCCUCUACAAUCGUGUUCUUUUGCAAUAAUACUCCAUGGUAUUUUAUUCUCAGUACCCCUUUUUCUCUACAAUGAGCUCUUUUGUACGCGUUACCGUAUCGCGUUUUAUCAUUCUUGUUACGUUUUUCAUGUUUCUUACUCAACUGUAGUAAUGAGCAUUCAAUGAAACUCCAGGAUUUUAAAUCGUGCUUUGAAACUUCAAAUGCAUACAAGACGAGUAUAAUAGGAACUUAAUCAUGGUUCGUGCAAAAUUAAAGAAAAAUAAAGAAUGAAAUAAAUUAGUAACAAUAUAUCGUAUAAUA